AACAACCAAGUGUGUCUUCAGAGCUCUUUAGUGACAAGGCCUGAUGCACCCAAUCACAAUGUCAAAACAAAACAGAAAGGAAUAUAUUUUUAGUCUGUCUAAUUUCAAGUCCUUAGUAUGAAUUUCAAGUUCUUAGUAUGAAAAGUCUACAAGACUUCUUGUUUUGUCUUCUGCAUUCUCCCAUCGUUAGAGUCAGACCUGCCUCAGCAGCUUUUUCACUUGUAUAAUGCAAGUGUAAAUCCCUUGAAUUGUAGGAUAAUCGACACUGGCGAUUUACUGCAGAGGUUUACACAGAUAAAAUAGAAUUAAAAACCAGCACCCACAUGACACAAAGCUAAGUGGUUCCACAGGAGUGAAAACUGCCUCUGUCUUUUGUGAAAAACUUGUCAUCCAGAUGACACCUAUUUCACCCACAGGAACCAGCAGGGAGCUGCUUUGAAAAGCUGAAGAUCACAGCAUGUGUUUGUGUUCUGUGAUGUCAAGUUGGACCAAAUAGAGCAUUCAAGACAGAAAACUGCACUGGAUCCUCCCAACCUACUGAAAACCUACUAUGGCCAUCAACAUUUUUCAGCUACCACUGAAGAGCUUAUACCACUGACAUUGUUGCCAAAAUUUUCUAGCAACUGCAGCAGCAGAAAGGUGCCAGGACAAACCUCUGCUCCAGAACUGCUUCACAGAAUGACACAGAACAGCAAUCCUUUCCCUUCUGGAGAGGAGGAAGAAAAGGCAAGUUUCUGCAGUGGCGAGAGGGAUGCAAAAGCAGCUAGGGAGUGCCAGGUAUGGCCUGUCUUCUGCCCGCUGAUCAUGAGCACCCUGUGUUUGUUACUCUGAAGUGUGACACAUAGACAAAUAAUAAGAAGGGCCAGCUUCUCAUAGCAUUCUCUUCAUGAUAUUCCACUCUAUCAGUGGGGCCUGGUGGACUUACCUUGCUGUAUUUUCCCAUGUGGUCACAAAUUAACUCUGCAAUAUGUCCCACGGAAUUGAAUGCCGCUCAGAACUUUGGCAUUAAAUCUGUAUCCCACAAAGCUGAGCCACAUUUUCAAAAUCAGUCUCUCAAUAUUAAUCAGCCCUGAGGAACUUCAGAAAGGCAAGUGGGGGGCAGAAGGAAAAAUCAAAUUGAAAAGACCCUGAAUAGCAUAGGAGGGUAGAGAGCGAGAGAAGCAACUAAACAUAACAGCAUAUGUGUACACUGUGUUAGGAGAACAGGAAGCUGGAAUGACAGAAAGUUGUAUUUAGUUACGUGCAUGGAAUCCUAGCCCUUCCAUUGGUUCUAUUUUGAUGAAGGCUUACAGCUAGGUUUCAGGUUGUUCCUAUUUUAAGCCCAACUGGUUUGGCUGCUCCUAAUAAGUGGGUGAUUGUUCUCACUUCCUCACAUUGUGCCAGUUAGACAAGUUCAUAAAGUUGCUCAACCCUUCCUAGAAGAUUGCCUUCAAAGUCAUUUCCAGGCCAAACUGACCUUUGACCUUGAGAGGCAUUUCCUCUGUGUCCAGCACACCAACUGCGUGCACAUGAUCCUCCUAUACUACAGGGACUAUCUACUGUAUAACUCACUCUUAUAGAUCAUUUUUCAGUAAUGCAGAUUGCAGGCUUGGGAGACUUGAGCUCCUUCAGAACCUAGUGGAAGGGCAAGAACUAAAUCUCACAUCCCCAAGAUACCAGUCUGGAUCAUGUUUUUGUACUUAAUUUUGAGCACUGAACUAAGCAGUAGUUGCUUAUAAUGUUAAAGAGGAUCCUCUAAAACAAUGAAGAUAAUGUUUACCUAAGGGAUUAUUGAGCCUGAAAUAUGAUAUUGAUAGGGUUUCCUGUUAUGGUUGCCUGGAUGGAUUGUUGUGCCUCACUGCUUUGAAUAUGUUUUUUAUGUCACUACGAUUUAUCAUAUUUUAAUGUGGUAUUUGAUCCUUUUUAGUAUUUUGAUACGUAAUGUUUUAAGUUUCAAAUAUUGACUUUCAAUGAUGUAAGCUGCUUUGGGUCCUUCUUAAGAAGGAAGGUGGGGUAAAAAUAUUUUAGAGAAAUAAAAAUAAACAAAUGAUUUGGUCCCA
ensembl:lncRNA